AGUGAACGCUGGCGGUAGGCCUAACACAUGCAAGUCGAACGGCAGCACAGUAAGAGCUUGCUCUUACGGGUGGCGAGUGGCGGACGGGUGAGGAAUACAUCGGAAUCUACUUUUUCGUGGGGGAUAACGUAGGGAAACUUACGCUAAUACCGCAUACGACCUACGGGUGAAAGCAGGGGAUCUUCGGACCUUGCGCGAUUGAAUGAGCCGAUGUCGGAUUAGCUAGUUGGCGGGGUAAAGGCCCACCAAGGCGACGAUCCGUAGCUGGUCUGAGAGGAUGAUCAGCCACACUGGAGCUGAGACACGGUCCAGACUCCUACGGGAGGCAGCAGUGGGGAAUAUUGGACAAUGGGCGCAAGCCUGAUCCAGCCAUCCCGCGUGUGUGAAGAAGGCCUUCGGGUUGUAAAGCCCUUUUGUUGGGAAAGAAAAGCAGCAGGUUAAUACCCCGCUGUUCUGACGGUACCCAAAGAAUAAGCACCGGCUAACUUCGUG
rnacentral:rRNA from 1 species